UACAGCUUCCAACUAUACCACUCUAAGUCUGCCUUGCUGUGUGCUCACCCAUCUCACACUUGUUAAGUUCAUUACAAAAACGCCAACAGAAACACCGAAGUCAGGUUUGCAGCAUCCCCUGCUCUUCUGACCUGACGCUCCCAGGUUGGAGCAGCACAAUUUCCCCUCAGUGAUGCCACCUUGACUGCUUCCUAGCAAACUCUUCAAGUUCCUUGGAAAUGACACCUAGAACAAGUCAUUCCACCACCUCUCCAGGGUGAAAGAGGAGACAGACUGGCCUAGGGUUAUGCAGGCCCUCCUUCUUACCCUUUUUGAAGGCUGCCGUGAUGCUGGCUAUCCUCCCGUCCUCACACAACUUUCCUAUAGAAAACAUCAUAAAGAAUGUGACACAGAGCCAGCUGGUGCUCACUUCUGCCAGCUCCUUCGCCACACACAGGCACGUCCCACUAGGACCUGGGGGGCACCAAUUUUGUCCACGUGAUCUUUGCCGCCUCCUCUGCAAUCAGGAAGGCAUCCUUCCUCAAAGACGCUUUCCUCUGGGAUCCAGGAUCGUCAAGGAGCAUCCUCAGCAGUCACAGCUGCAACAAAGAAGGCAUUCCAGCCCCUGCCUGAUGAGGCAGAGGACCCACCCUACUCUCCUCCUUGCUGUUCACAAACUUGCUAACUUCUGUUAUCCUUGAUCUUCCCCCCCCCAAAGAAGAAACUAAGUAGGCUUUAGCCUUCCUCAUCCUAAUCUCUUCCUUCUCGCUUUCAAGUUCUUCUGCAAGCCCCAUUUUCCCAUGAAGCUCCCCUGCUAUUUUGCUCCUUUUCUUACUCUCCUAAGAGCGCCCCUCCUGAGCGCAAAUAAAUUGCUUGAAAUAACAACCGCCCACAGGACCUCUUCUGACGUUCCAACUGCACGGAUACCUCCAAGUAGAUCCUUUCAGAGGACAAACCAGGCUUCCUGAAAAUCCAAUAUCUCAACCCUACUUACUGCUUUGCUUCUUCCACACCAGAUCCUGAACUGCACCAUCUCAGAGCAGCCACCCCCAGCUGAGCCUCCCUCUGUAGGGAGAGCAAGCUCCUCCGUCGCUUGUGUCCUAAGUUUUACCUUUGACACAUUGCAAGAACCUCCUGGAAUAACCAAGCCUGGCAGCCUUGCUUCCCCAACAGCUGAUAGGGUGGUUCAGCCUACCCUGAGAACAACUAAUGCCCACAGCUGUGCGCAGAAGGUCUUAUCCUCUUCCUCACCCUGGUCUGUAACCAACACCCCCAAGGAUGUUACUCACCUUUACCUACCUCACAAGCACUCCUCUAGUUGUUCAUUCAUCCCUAGGCAGGGCUCAAUCCUUUCCAGCUCUCUCACCUGAAAAGCAACUCCAUCACCCUGCUGGAUUGUCCUUCUGGAAAAAAAACAUGCAAUCCGUAACAAACAGCAUUCCAGGCAUACAAGUUCACCCACCACGAUGGGAAUGAGGUCAUGCACAUAAGGAAGGUGGAAACACCCAGUCCCAUCCUGCUGCUCGCUCCCGCUGCUGGAGGCAGGAGCUGAAGGACCUACAAACCCUUUUGGGGGGCUGAGGCCACCCAGAGGUCUCCCUUGGCCUCCAAGAGCAGCACCCUCGCCUACUGACUCCUAAACUCUCAACACUUCCACAACCUCGCUGGUUUGGGAUGAAGAGAGGCUCUGCUGCAGCUCCAGUAGGAGAACACCUGGUUUUAGCAGCCCUUCGCGUUGCUCCUCUCUCCCAGCAGUGCC
ensembl:lncRNA